AUGGGAGUGAAUGAUCUAACAAAGUAUGAACUCAAUUUAUGUAACACACACUUCCUUUUAUAGAGGAAGUGCAUGGCAAUGGAGGGGAACAUGGAGUGGUGUAGUAAUUGAGUGCAAUGAUUCAAUGUAAUGAUGCAUGAAUCUGAAAUGAUGGAGGGAACAAGGAGUGGUGUAGCAAUUGAAUGCAAUGAUUCAAUGUAAUGAUGCAUGAAAUUUGAAAUGAUGGAGGGAACAAGGAAUGGUGUAGCAAUUGAGUGCAAUGAUUCAAUAUAAUGAUGCAUGAAAUCUGAAAUAAUGAAGGGGACAAGGGUGAUUAUACAUGGCAUGGGUG
rnacentral:lncRNA from 1 species